GCGCGGAUGGGUUGUAGGACAUGAAAACAAUAUGGCAAUAGACUUAUGGGACGAACACAAGGACACUUCAAACUAAGGGUAGAUGUGAACCUAACGAUAUGUCUGAAGCUUUGAUUACCACUACAGGAGAACAAGUGUGGCCCGAUCUUACGAAACUUUCUGGUAACUAUCGAUUUGGUGGAAACGAGAGACAUAUCAAUCCAGCUUGCGAACAACACAAUUCGAAACCCUGCAAUUCUUUUUAUUUUUUUUGAUAUUUUUCUUUUACUAAGGAGCACUCAAGAAGUAACCACAGGAAAUUUGAGCUUAAACAAGUGAAAGACGUGGCCUGUGGAAUUUUUUGAAGAUUGUG
rnacentral:lncRNA from 1 species